rnacentral:rRNA from 1 species
CCUACGGGAGGCAGCAGUGAGGAAUAUUGGUCAAUGGACGCAAGUCUGAACCAGCCAUGCCGCGUGCAGGAAGACGGCUCUAUGAGUUGUAAACUGCUUUUGUACGAGGGUAAACGCAGAUACGCGUAUCUGUCUGAAAGUAUCGGACGAAUAAGGAUAGGCUAACUCAGUGCCAGCCGCCGCGGUAAUACGGAGGAUUCAAGCGUUAUCCGGAUUUAUUGGGUUUAAAGGGUGCGUAGGCGGUCGGAUAAGUUAGAGGUGAAAUCCCGAGGCUCAACUUCGGAAUUGCCUCUGAUACUGUUCGGCUAGAGAGUAGUUGCGGUAGGCGGAAUGUAUGGUGUAGCGGUGAAAUGCUUAGAGAUCAUACAGAACACCGAUUGCGAAGGCAGCUUACCAAGCUACUUCUGACGUUGAGGCACGAAAGCGUGGGGAGCAAACAGGAUUAGAUACCCCUGUAGUC